AAGAUGGCUCUGGCCCUGUGUGGAGAAUGGGUUGAAGGAACACAGACGCAGCAGCAGAACCGGUCCUCAUCCUUGAACCAGGUGAGAACUUCUAGCUUACUGGGUAAAGUCCAAUUAACGUGGUGCAGAAUUCCAUCCAUGGCAGGGCUCCUGCUGUCUCCAGCCUCAUCUCCAGGCACACCCUGCACCCUUGAGAAGACAAUGCUUCCGUGUCCACCAGUUCAUUCCUUCCAGACACAUCCCAGUGGUGUCUAGCUCAGGUCUCAGCUCCUGGAAAGGGACAAGGACGCCCCAGAGUCUGCUUUUUUGACACUUACCUUCUGGUCCCCCUGAAAAAUCAUGCUGCAUCACGCCUGCACAUUGUCCUUUCUGCGGAAAUGUCCUGUCUCCCCAUCUCUAUCUGCCAAAGACCCACGCAUAAUGCAAACAAUUCAGGUUUCACCCAUUGCCCUUGCUAAGCUAGACCCAGGCAAAAGACAAACCCCAGAGCAACAGUGCGAGGCGGUGCUCCACGCUCCAUCUCAGAGCAGAGCAACCUUAGGACCCCAUUUCAGAAUCCCCUCAAUGAAGUGUAUGGUGGAAGGGCCUGAUUCGUGUCAUGAGAGGUAACAACACCACUACCAACAUCCUGCUUCUCGUCCCCCAGCCCCUGCAAGGGUGCAGUGUGGCUACAGGGGGUGUCUCUGCAGUGAUUCCUCCCUUUACAGGGAAUGAGUCAGGUCCUCUGAAGAAAAGGUGUAAAAAGAAAAAAGAGUGUGUUGUCAAUACUUCAAAGCCUCAGCCAGCAUCAUCUGAUCUAGGAAAGGUGUGAUGGGGUAGGAUAAUCGAUCGCUGCUUAAUUUCCACUGGUUUCUGCAGGGUGCAGACCAGGAAAUUAGACAUUGGGCCUUCCCAGCAGGUCAAGAAACCCAUGUCAGAUACAGCAAAAUCAGCCUCUGUGGCCAGGGGACAGAGGCGUGUGGCGUCUACAAGAAACAAAGAACACAAAGGUUUCCAAGACCAUACUCUGAAAUCUCUGCUCCUUAGAACAGACUCUAAGCUACUACAGAAAAACCACAAGGAAGUUUUCCAUCUGCUUUUUUCCCCUAGUAUCUUCUCCCUAUCUCAAAAACAAAAAAACAAAACAAAACAAAACUUUAAAAAUCCAUGAAGCAUUAGCUAUUUUUAGAAAUUUUAACUUUUCUAUUAUCUAACAAUACAUAUUUCCUGAGCAUUUUAAGUCCAUUUUAAUUUUGUGUACUAUUUAAUGGUAAAUCGUGGUAUAUAUCCUCAACAUAAUACUUCAUAUCCUUGCAGUCCGAUUAUUCAGUCAGCCUUCACUUCUUCAGAUUAAACAAUAUAACUUCAAUUUGCAUAUGUUCUCCAGGUUAUUGCAAAAUAAACCUGUUUCAGUGCAUUUGAAGUAUAGAACAGUGAUCAUUUUAAAUCACACUCAAUUGCCCAGCUUUUCAUUUGAAUAAAAUUCAGGUACCGUUUAGUUCACAAAGAUAAUUUUACUUCAAGAUUUACAGUCGUGCCUCUCAUCUAAAGCAAUCUUCCUCACCCUCUCCCCGGCACUAUUUCUCACCAGCCCUCAAACCCACAAGGCCUCAUUCAAAAAUGAUGAAUCAAGAAGAAAAUAUAAUGUAAAUAGCUGCUGUAUUAGAAAAAUGCACUGGGAAUCUUUGAAAGCCAGGGAGAAUAUAUUAAUAUUCUAUAUUUCUUUUAUCAUACCAAAAAAAAAAAAAAAGGCAGGCUAUGCCUUAGAGCAAGGCUGCAACAGUGUGUCCCAUGUAGGAAAGAUAUUUGCAAGGCCGUCUGGCCUAAAUGCUCACCAUUAACCAAAGCAGGAGCUCUGGGAAGCUCCUGGGAAGUCCAGCCAUGUGGGGCCACCAAAACAUAAUGGAAAAUGCCCACCACACACUACACGCUUCUUCAUUACAUUGGCUCAAUACUGAGAAUGACCGCACAGGACAGCCCUCUUGCAUGACACUAAGGUUUUGUAGGUGAACUGCCACCUGUUAGAUUUCCACUUCCUUUGUUCUCCUACAGUGAGGUCUUUGUCCUGAGUUGAGGGGAGGACAGAUUUUGGUGGGAAGAUGAUCUGAGUUUAAAGGGGCUCUGAGAGAUCCACAUGCAGCUGUCUAGUAGGUUAAUGGGAAUACCCAUCCAACACUCUGGAAAGAGGUCCUUGCUGGAGAUGGAAAUCUAGGGUCCUUCACAUUGGCAUGGUUGUUGGAACCACGGCUGGGUCAGAGUUGUUGAGGAGCACAGACCUCUGAAGGGGGAAGAACAAGGAACCUUGGGAGCACCGAUAAUUGCUGGAUACACGAGCUCUGCGACAGGAAGGCAAGCAUAAGGCUGUCAUGCCAUAAAAACUAAGGCAAGAGAGAGUUUCCAUGCGAGGGAGGGGUCACACGAACUGAAUACAGUCCAAAGGACUGUAGGCAGUGGAUGAUACUAUUUAGGAGGUCUAAAUAUAGCUCUAGUAAUCUCAGCAAGAAUAAGUUACAAUGAAACAAUUACGGGUAAGGGAGAAGCUAGCUAGAUUUCACU
rnacentral:lncRNA from 1 species